AUUGAACGCUGGCGGCAGGCCUAACACAUGCAAGUCGAGCGGUAGCACAGAGAGCUUGCUCUCGGGUGACGAGCGGCGGACGGGUGAGUAAUGUCUGGGAAACUGCCUGAUGGAGGGGGAUAACUACUGGAAACGGUAGCUAAUACCGCAUAAUGUCGCAAGACCAAAGUGGGGGACCUUCGGGCCUCAUGCCAUCAGAUGUGCCCAGAUGGGAUUAGCUAGUAGGUGGGGUAACGGCUCACCUAGGCGACGAUCCCUAGCUGGUCUGAGAGGAUGACCAGCCACACUGGAACUGAGACACGGUCCAGACUCCUACGUGAGGCAGCAGUGGGGAAUAUUGCACAAUGGGCGCAAGCCUGAUGCAGCCAUGCCGCGUGUGUGAAGAAGGCCUUCGGGUUGUAAAGCACUUUCAGCGGGGAGGAAGGCGGUGAGGUUAAUAACCUCAUCGAAUGACGUUUACCCGCAGAAAAAGCACCGGCUAACUCCGUGCCCAGCGCCGCGGUAAUAACGGAGGGUGCAAGCCGUUAAUCGAAAUUCCUGGGCGUAAGCGCACGCAGGCGGUCUGUCAAGUCGGAUGUGAAAUCCCCGGGCUCAACCUGGGAACUGCAUUCGAAACUGGCAGGCUAGAGUCUUGUAGAGGGGGGUAGAAUUCCAGGUGUAGCGGUGAAAUGCGUAGAGAUCUGGAGGAAUACCGGUGGCGAAGGCGGCCCCCUGGACAAAGACUGACGCUCAGGUGCGAAAGCGUGGGGAGCAAACAGGAUUAGAUACCCUGGUAGUCCACGCCGUAAACGAUGUCGAUUUGGAGGUUGUGCCCUUGAGGCGUGGCUUCCGGAGCUAACGCGUUAAAUCGACCGCCUGGGGAGUACGGCCGCAAGGUUAAAACUCAAAUGAAUUGACGGGGGCCCGCACAAGCGGUGGAGCAUGUGGUUUAAUUCGAUGCAACGCGAAGAACCUUACCUGGUCUUGACAUCCACAGAACUUUCCAGAGAUGGAUUGGUGCCUUCGGGAACUGUGAGACAGGUGCUGCAUGGCUGUCGUCAGCUCGUGUUGUGAAAUGUUGGGUUAAGUCCCGCAACGAGCGCAACCCUUAUCCUUUGUUGCCAGCGGUUAGGCCGGGAACUCAAAGGAGACUGCCAGUGAUAAACUGGAGGAAGGUGGGGAUGACGUCAAGUCAUCAUGGCCCUUACGACCAGGGCUACACACGUGCUACAAUGGCAUAUACAAAGAGAAGCGACCUCGCGAGAGCAAGCGGACCUCAUAAAGUAUGUCGUAGUCCGGAUUGGAGUCUGCAACUCGACUCCAUGAAGUCGGAAUCGCUAGUAAUCGUAGAUCAGAAUGCUACGGUGAAUACGUUCCCGGGCCU
rnacentral:rRNA from 1 species